rnacentral:rRNA from 1 species
GACGAACGCUGGCGGCGUGCUUAACACAUGCAAGUCGAACGGAAAGGCCCUGCUUUUGUGGGGUGCUCGAGUGGCGAACGGGUGAGUAACACGUGAGUAUCCUGCCCUUGACUUUGUGAUAACUUUAGGAAACUGGGGCUAAUAUCGGAUAUGAUCUCCUGCUGCGUGGUGUGGGUUGGAAAGUUUCGGCGGUUGGGGAUGGACUCGAGGCUUAUCAGCUUGUUGGUGGGGUAGUGGCUUACCAAGGCUUUGACGGGUAGCCGGCCUGAGAGGGUGACCGGCCACAUUGGGACUGAGAUACGGCCCAGACUCCUACGGGAGGCAGCAGUGGGGAACAUUGCACAAUGGGCGGAAGCCUGAUGCAGCAACGCCGCGUGCGGGAUGACGGCCUUCGGGUUGUAAACCGCUUUCGCCUGUGACGAAGCGUGAGUGACGGUAAUGGGUAAAGAAGCACCGGCUAACUACGUG